rnacentral:rRNA from 1 species
GACGAACGCUGGCGGCGUGCUUAACACAUGCAAGUCGAACGGAAAGGCCCUGCUUUUUUGGGGUGCUCGAGUGGCGAACGGGUGAGUAACACGUGAGUAACCUGCCCUUGACUUUGGGAUAACCUCAGGAAACUGGGGCUAAUACCGGAUAGGUACUCCUGCUGCAUGGUGGGGGUUGGAAAGUUUCGGCGGUUGGGGAUGGACUUGCGGCUUAUCAGCUUGUUGGUGGGGUAGUGGCUUACCAAGGCUUUGACGGGUAGCCGGCCUGUGAGGGUGACCGGCCACAUUGGGACUGAGAUACGGCCCAGACUGCUACGGGAGGCAGCAGUGGAGAAUAUUGCACAAUGGGCGGAAGCCUGAUGCAGCAACGCCGCGUGCGGGAUGACGGCCUUUGGGUUGUAAACCGCUUUCGCCUGUGACGAAGCGUGAGUGACGGUAAUGGGUAAAGAAGCAACGGCUAACUACGUG